rnacentral:rRNA from 1 species
CCCUUAGAUUGUCUGGGCGGCACGCGCGCUACAAUGAUGCAUUCAAAAAGUCUUCUGACCUUAGAAGGUUGGGUAUUCUCCAAAGUGCAUCGUGAUGGGAAUAGUUUAUUGCAAUUUUUAAUCUUGAACGAGGAAUUCCUAGUAAGUACAGGUCGUCAACUUGUGUUGAUUACGUCCCUGCCCUUUGUACACACCGCCCGUCGCUCCUACUGAUUGAGUGUCUCGGUGAAUUCGUUGAUCUUCUGUCGAUUCAGUUCACUGAUCCGACGGUGGAAAGUUGAAUGAACUUCGUCACUUAGAGGAAGGAGAAAUCGUAACA